CGAAGCACGUUCAGGGAAAAGAUUGAGUUUCGAUGACAUCAGACUUCACACACUGAGACAGGUAUUCAGACAGGUGAAUUCUGAUCAGGCUCCGCCCCUUUCAGGAUGCUCUCUCUGACCUGCAUCACCUGCAGAUUAAAACCAUCCCGAGGCUCCAUCUCAGUGAGAGAACCUCAAACUGCUGAACAGAGAACACUGACUGGCCUGCCACUCGUUGGACUUUCACAAUAAUAAAAAAAAUGACGACGGCACUGAUUCUGCUGAUGGCCAUGGUAAUGGUUUCUAUGGUACACCAUGUUCAAGGAACGUCUCACCUGUCAUUUGCCAACAACACAGAGGUGAACAUCACUCGAGCAGGCUGUGGAGACACUAAACUGUGUGUGCAGACUCCUGAUGGCUGUGACCCAGCAGCAAGCACCCAGUGUCUGUUUGCGUCGCUCAAUGCCAGCACCACCAUGGCCCCAAAUGGUACCGACCUGUCAGUGGAGCUCAGUGGGAACUCCAGCGGCUACAUUGCCCUGGGGCUGACCGCCAACGCAUCACAGGGAACCACCUUGCUUUUCAUCUGUGCUCAGAACAACGGGUCGUUCUUUUUCCGAACAAUGACAAGAAACAACAGCAACAGCAUGAUUUCUCCCUCAGAGACGAGAGUGACAGAAAUACGAGGCUCUGUAAACGGUGAUAUGAUCCAGUGUGAGUUCAUCAUCCCCGGUGCCAACGCCACUGACACCAGGAGCAGCAAUGACACCAUGUUCAUCGUCAUCCUGGGCCAAGGGCCCGUGAACGGAACUGCCAUCGGGUCCUUUAACGAGACCCUCAGGACUGACCUUCUGAACGUCUCAGACCCCAGCAGCAACGUUGCUCCGACACCAACCUCAAACACCACCUCAUCAGCCUCCACCAGUGCUGCUCAUCUUCAUGAUGUGCUGCUGCUGCUGCUGCCCAGUGUCCUCUCGGUGUCUCUCCUGAAGACGAACUAACAGGAUCCUGACAGUGCUGUGACACAAUGAUGUCUGUAAUAAGUGUGACGUGAAAAAAAAUACUCAACGUAUUGGCCGAUUUAUUACAUGUUGUUGCAAACCGUUAUUUACAGCAUUAACCAGACUUUUUUUUUGCACUUUGAGCUCAAAAGAGCAAUGGUGUACAGUUUUCUUUGUUUAUAGGUGUUUUCACGUUGUGCAAAUGAUAACAUAUUUGUAAAAUAUAUGAAUUUGAUCACUGCAGUGGUUGCAUUAAUAUUGGCCAGCAUCCAGGAGAAGCAUUGGCCUUGUUUAUUGUUCUGUAAAUGUUGUACUGUAUAAGCCAUAAAGAAUAAUAAAAGUGAUUUGUAAUCAAUUAGUUUAUCUUCA
rnacentral:lncRNA from 1 species